CGCUGAGCCGAGUGGACGUGUUUUCGUUGAUUGAAAGCGAACGGUACCAAUCGUGAGUGAAGUGCAUUACCGCGCCCGCCUCCCCCACUGACCCGGGCCCGGUUUAUUCGAUUUUCGUUGCGUUUGUGUUCGUGCGUAUUUUUGUAUCCUUGUAUCUAUCUUGUUUCCCCGCUUGGGGUUUGGUCCGCGGCAAUUUUUGUUUUUCCCUAUAAACGUUCUAGAUUCUAAUAAGAAAACGACAAGUGAGGAGCAAAUUUAUUACAAUUUAGUGCGGAAAAGUGCGCCUUUUCCUUUCCUGAAACGUAGCAGCGCUCCAUUCAAAUAGUGAGUGUUGUUGGUGUUGGUGAGCGCUUUAGUGCUGGAAUAAAAGUGUGACACCGAAGAGAAAAAAAAGGGAAAAAAAUAAUCACCUUCGCCGUCGUCAUUGAAGAAAA